rnacentral:rRNA from 1 species
UAGAGUUUGAUCCUGGCUCAGGACGAACGCUGGCGGCGUGCCUAACACAUGCAAGUCGAACGAAGCCUUCGGGCUUAGUGGCGGACGGGUGAGUAACGCGUGAACAAUCUGCCCUGUACAGAGGAAUAGCCUCGGGAAACCGGGAUUAAAACCACAUGACACUUCAUUAUUGCAUGAUAGAGAAGUCAAAUAUUUAUAGGUAUGGGAUGAGUUCGCGUCUGAUUAGCUAGUUGGUGGGGUAAUGGCCUACCAAGGCAACGAUCAGUAGCCGGCCUGAGAGGGUGAACGGCCACACUGGAACUGAGACACGGUCCAGACUCCUACGGGAGGCAGCAGUGGGGAAUAUUGCACAAUGGAGGGAACUCUGAUGCAGCGACGCCGCGUGAGUGAAGAAGGUUUUCGGAUCGUAAAACUCUGU